UGGCUCUCGCAUCGAUGAAGAACGCAGCGAAAUGCGAUAAGUAAUGUGAAUUGCAGAAUUCAGUGAAUCAUCGAAUCUUUGAACGCACCUUGCGCUCCUUGGUAUUCCGAGGAGCAUGCCUGUUUGAGUGUCUUGAAGUCAUCAACCCCUCCAGUUUUUCGAAGCUGGGGAAGGUUGGAUAUGGGGGCCUGCUGCCGCAAGGCUGCUCCCCUCAAAUGUGUCGGUUGGACCUGUGGGUCGGACUCGUUGGGCGUUGUAUCAACCUCGCUCUGACAGAGAUGUUCCCCUUUUGCGUCCUCCCUCGACUCGCCGCAGAGUGGCAGUCAACAUUUUGAAAUCUGACCUCAAAUCAGGUAGGACUACCCGCUGA
rnacentral:misc_RNA from 1 species